rnacentral:rRNA from 1 species
GUUUUUGAUCUUGGCUCAGGAUGAACGCUAGCGGGAGGCCUAACACAUGCAAGUCGAACGGGAUUCAGUAGCUUGCUACUGAUGAGAGUGGCGCACGGGUGAGUAACGCGUAUGCAACCUACCUCUUACAGGGGGAUAGCCCGGAGAAAUCCGGAUUAAUAUCCCAUGGUAUUUAUUGUCCGCAAGGAUAAUAAAUUAAAGAUUUAUCGGUAAGAGAUGGGCAUGCGUGACAUUAGUUUGUUGGUGAGGUAACGGCUCACCAAGACUACGAUGUCUAGGGGUUCUGAGAGGAUGAUCCCCCACACUGGUACUGAGACACGGACCAGACUCCUACGGGGAGGCAGCAGUGAGGAAUAUUGGUCAAUGGGCGCAAGCCUGAACCAGCCAUCCCGCGUGAAAGGAAGACGGCCCCUAUGGGUUGUAAACUUCUUUUUCUGCACCAAGAAUUGGCCUUACGUGUAAGGUUUUGACGGUAGUGCAGGAAUAAGCAUCGGCUAACUCCGUGCCAGCAGCCGCGGUAAUACGGAGGAUGCAAGCGUUAUCCGGAUUCAUUGGGUUUAAAGGGUACGUAGGUGGCCCAGUAAGUCAGUGGUGAAAUCCUGCCGCUUAACGGUAGAACUGCCAUUGAUACUGCUGGGCUUGAGUACAGUUGAGGUAGGCGGAAUGUGUAGUGUAGCGGUGAAAUGCUUAGAUAUUACACAGAACCCCGAUUGCGAAGGCAGCUUACUAAACUGUAACUGACACUGAGGUACGAAAGCGUGGGGAGCGAACAGGAUUAGAUACCCUGGUAGUCCACGCCGUAAACGAUGCUCACUCGCUGUAUGCGAUACACAGUAUGCGGCCAAGCGAAAGUAUUAAGUGAGCCACCUGGGGAGUACGUUGGCAACAGUGAAACUCAAAGGAAUUGACGGGGGCCCGCACAAGCGGAGGAACAUGUGGUUUAAUUCGAUGAUACGCGAGGAACCUUACCUGGGCUUAAAUGCAGGACGACAGGCGUCGAAAGAUGCUUUUCUUCGGACGGCUUGCAAGGUGCUGCAUGGUUGUCGUCAGCUCGUGCCGUGAGGUGUCGGGUUAAGUCCCAUAACGAGCGCAACCCUUACCGUUAGUUACCAUCAGGUCAAGCUGGGGGACUCUAGCGGGACUGCCACCCGUAAGGUGAGAGGAAAGGUGGGGAUGACGUCAAAUCAGCACGGCCCUUAUGUCCAGGGCUACACACGUGUUACAAUGGCCAGUACAAAGGGCAGCUACCAGGCGACUGGAUGCUAAUCUCUAAAGCUGGUCUCAGUUCGGAUCGAAGUCUGCAACCCGACUUCGUGAAGCUGGAUUCGCUAGUAAUCGCGCAUCAGCCAUGGCGCGGUGAAUACGUUCCCGGGCCUUGUACACACCGCCCGUCAAACCAUGGAAGCUGGGGGUACCUGAAGUCUGUGACCGCAAGGAGCGGCCUAGGGUAAAACUAGUGACUGGGGUUAAGUCGUAACAAGGUAGCCGUACCGGAAGGUGUGGCUGACCCCCCCUCCUAAACCAA